rnacentral:rRNA from 1 species
CCUACGGGAGGCAGCAGUGGGGAAUUUUGGACAAUGGGCGCAAGCCUGAUCCAGCCAUGCCGCGUGUGGGAAGAAGGCCUUCGGGUUGUAAACCACUUUUGUCAGGGAAGAAACGGUCUGGUCUAAUAAACCGGACUAAUGACGGUACCUGAAGAAUAAGCACCGGCUAACUACGUGCCAGCAGCCGCGGUAAUACGUAGGGUGCAAGCGUUAAUCGGAAUUACUGGGCGUAAAGCGUGCGCAGGCGGCUUUGCAAGACAGAUGUGAAAUCCCCGGGCUCAACCUGGGAACUGCAUUUGUGACUGCAAGGCUAGAGUACGGCAGAGGGGGAUGGAAUUCCGCGUGUAGCAGUGAAAUGCGUAGAUAUGCGGAGGAACACCGAUGGCGAAGGCAAUCCCCUGGGCCUGUACUGACGCUCAUGCACGAAAGCGUGGGGAGCAAACAGGAUUAGAUACCCUGGUAGUCCACGCCCUAAACGAUGUCAACUGGUUGUUGGGAGGGUUUCUUCUCAGUAACGAAGCUAACGCGUGAAGUUGACCGCCUGGGGGAGGUACGGCCGCGAGUAGAACGUACGAAGAAGUAGUACGGCGUGAGACGUGGCGAGGACGACGACGAGGGAGGAGGG